ACCUGAAACCGUGUGCUUACAAGUAGUCAGAGCCCGUUAAUGGGUGAUGGCGUGCCUUUUGUAGAAUGAACCGGCGAGUUACGAUUUGAUGCAAGGUUAAGCAGUAAAUGUGGAGCCGUAGCGAAAGCGAGUCUGAAUAGGGCGUUUAGUAUUUGGUCGUAGACCCGAAACCAGGUGAUCUACCCUUGGUCAGGUUGAAGUUCAGGUAACACUGAAUGGAGGACCGAACCGACUUACGUUGAAAAGUGAGCGGAUGAACUGAGGGUAGCGGAGAAAUUCCAAUCGAACCUGGAGAUAGCUGGUUCUCUCCGAAAUAGCUUUAGGGCUAGCCUCAAGUGAUGAUUAUUGGAGGUAGAGCACUGUUUGGACGAGGGGCCCCUCUCGGGUUACCGAAUUCAGACAAACUCCGAAUGCCAAUUAAUUUAACUUGGGAGUCAGAACAUGGGUGAUAAGGUCCGUGUUCGAAAGGGAAACAGCCCAGACCACCAGCUAAGGUCCCAAAAUAUAUGUUAAGUGGAAAAGGAUGUGGCGUUGCCCAGACAACUAGGAUGUUGGCUUAGAAGCAGCCAUCAUUUAAAGAGUGCGUAAUAGCUCACUAGUCGAGUGACACUGCGCCGAAAAUGUACCGGGGCUAAACAUAUUACCGAAGCUGUGGAUUGUCCUUUGGACAAUGGUAGGAGAGCGUUCUAAGGGCGUUGAAGCAUGAUCGUAAGGACAUGUGGAGCGCUUAGAAGUGAGAAUGCCGGUGUGAGUAGCGAAAGACGGGUGAGAAUCCCGUCCACCGAUUGACUAAGGUUUCCAGAGGAAGGCUCGUCCGCUCUGGGUUAGUCGGGUCCUAAGCUGAGGCCGACAGGCGUAGGCGAUGGAUAACAGGUUGAUAUUCCUGUACCACCUAUAAUCGUUUUAAUCGAUGGGGGGACGCAGUAGGAUAGGCGAAGCGUGCGAUUGGAUUGCACGUCUAAGCAGUAAGGCUGAGUAUUAGGCAAAUCCGGUACUCGUUAAGGCUGAGC
rnacentral:rRNA from 1 species